UCUCUCUCUCUCUCUCUCUCUCUCUGUGUGUGUGUGUGUGUGUGUGUGUGUCUGUGUGUGUGUGUAAAGGGAAUUUAUUUGAAUGGCUUACAGGCCGUUGUCAGCUAGUCCAACAAUGGCUGCCUAUCAACAGAAGGGCCAGGGAUCUCGCAGUUGUUCAGCCCACCAGGCUGGAUGUCUCAGCUGGUCUUCAGUCUACACUGGAAUCCUGAGGAAGUCAGCUCUAAUUGCCAGUGAAGGAAUGGACUUGCUAGUGAGAAUGAGAUCAAGCAGGCAAAGAACAAGCACGCUUCCUUCUUCCAUGUCCUUUAUAUAGGCUGCCAGCAGAAGGUGCGGCCUAGAUUAAAGGCACCGAUGGUUCCUCACAAGGUCCAGACCAAACUAUGACACCAGGAUGCUCACACAAGAUGAUAGCAGCAACUGGAAGGAUCUCGCAACUCCUGAUAUGUCUACAAGCCUCAAGUAAUGGACCUGGAACUGUGGCCGAGGCCUCUCUCUCUGCUGUGUGAUUUGUCAGGGUGGUGUUUCCUCUACGGCACUUCCCCAACGGCCUCCUGUUUCUGCCUCCCCUUCAGCACCGUCAUCACUCACCGAUUACAUCGGGAGAGCAUGCUUGCCCUCAUCUGACCCAAGGAUGUGCUGGAGCCCUUCUGACUUUAUGUGGAAACUUUCCCUCACCAUCCUAACUCCAGCCCCCUCCCCCUCCUGCCUUUCCCCCAGCUCUUCUUCCCAGCUCCAGUUACUGGGAUUCUAUUGUCAUUGCUAGGCACCUCUGGUCCCUCCUUUCCCCAGCUUCUGCCACUGAGGCCCCAGACUGACCUGUAGAAAGACUCACAGUCUUCCAUGGAGCACUUUUCUCUCUGGCUCCCUUAAGGUUUUCCAACUCUGGGAAGCUCCUGUGGAUGGGGUGGUUCCCCUUCCUGCUGCACCCAGAGCUGGCCUGGACCACGUGGUGACCAUUGGUGCCUGACAAAGUGCUGGCAUUUUGACUUUGUGGAUCACAGUUCUCCAGCACCCUUUAACUUUCAUUUUUAGUGAUUCUCACUCUGUGUUCCCUUAUACCUUUUCCUCUGGGAAAUUUUGUGCAGGCUUUGAAAGACAAAAAUGUAUAAAAUGGGGGCUGGAGAGAUGGCUCAGAGCUUAAGAGCACUAGCUUCUCUUCCAGAGGUCAUGAGUUCAAUUC